AGGGUGUAAACGCUGCAGACUUGGUGUUGGAGGCCCUUUGGGGGGCAUUCAGUGCCGGAGAGAAGUUGUUAAGUCUGCUACUUGGGGAGUACGUCCGCAAGGAUGAAACUUAAAGGAAUUGGCGGGGGAGCACCACAACGGGUGGAGCCUGCGGUUUAAUUGGACUCAACGCCGGGAAGCUCACCGGAUAAGACAGCGGAAUGAUUGCCGGGCUGAAGACUCUGCAUGACUAGCUGAGAGGAGGUGCAUGGCGAGACGUCU
rnacentral:rRNA from 1 species